AGUGGCGGACGGGUGAGUAACGCGCGAGAAUCUGCCUUGGGGUCGGGGACAACCACUGGAAACGGUGGCUAAUACCGGAUACGCCUUCGGGUAAAAGAUUUAUUGCCCUAAGAGGAGCUCGCGUCUGAUUAGCUAGUUGGUGAGGUAAGAGCUCACCAAGGCAGCGAUCAGUAGCUGGUCUGAGAGGACGAUCAGCCACACUGGGACUGAGACACGGCCCAGACUCCUACGGGAGGCAGCAGUGGGGAAUUUUCCGCAAUGGGCGAAAGCCUGACGGAGCAAGACCGCGUGAGGGAGGAAGGCUCUUGGGUUGUAAACCUCUUUUCUCAGGGAAGAAGCUCUGACGGUACCUGAGGAAUCAGCCUCGGCUAACUCCGUGCCAGCAGCCGCGGUAAUACGGAGGAGGCAAGCGUUAUCCGGAAUUAUUGGGCGUAAAGCGUCCGCAGGUGGCGAUUCAAGUCUGCUGUCAAAGCACGGGGCUUAACUCCGUAAAGGCAGUGGAAACUGAAUAGCUAGAGUGCCGUAGGGGUAGAGGGGAUUCCCGGUGUAGCGGUGAAAUGCGUAGAGAUCGGGAAGAACAUCGGUGGCGAAAGCGCUCUACUGGACGGCAACUGACACUCAGGGACGAAAGCUAGGGGAGCGAAUGGGAUUAGAUACCCC
rnacentral:rRNA from 1 species